rnacentral:tRNA from 1 species
GUGGCCGUAGUUUAGCGGAAAACACCCCUAGAGCAUUUGGGGAGUCGCAGGUUCCAACCCUGCCGGCCACU